rnacentral:rRNA from 1 species
GACAGAGGCCCCGAGCGUUAGGCGGAAUCACUGGGGCUUAAAGCGUGUGUAGGCGGGCCCGUAAGUGUCUUGUGAAAUCCCACGGCUCAACCGUGGAACUGCUGGGCAUACUGCGGGUCUUGGGCCAACUAGGGGCAGCCGGAACAAGCGGUGGAGCGGUGAAAUGCGUAGAUAUCGCUUGGAACGCCGAAGGUGAAAACAGGCUGCUGGGGUUGCGCCGACGCUGAGACACGAAAGCCAGG